GCCUUAGUAGCGGCGAGUGAGCGGCAAAAGCUCAAAUUUGAAAUCUGGCACUUUCAGUGUCCGAGUUGUAAUUUGAAGAAGGUAUCUUUGGGUCUGGCUCUUGUCUAUGUUUCUUGGAACAGAACGUCACAGAGGGUGAGAAUCCCGUGCGAUGAGAUGUCCCAGACCUAUGUAAAGUUCCUUCGAAGAGUCGAGUUGUUUGGGAAUGCAGCUCUAAGUGGGUGGUAAAUUCCAUCUAAAGCUAAAUAUUGGCGAGAGACCGAUAGCGAACAAGUACAGUGAUGGAAAGAUGAAAAGAACUUUGAAAAGAGAGUGAAAAAGUACGUGAAAUUGUUGAAAGGGAAGGGCUUGAGAUCAGACUUGGUAUUUUGUAUGUUACUCUCUCGGGGGUGGCCUCUACAGUUUACCGGGCCAGCAUCAGUUUGAGCGGUAGGAUAAGUGCAAAGAAAUGUGGCACUGCUUCGGUAGUGUGUUAUAGUCUUUGUCGAUACUGCCAGCUUAGACUGAGGACUGCGGCUUCGGCCUAGGAUGUUGGCAUAAUGAUCUUAAGUCGCCCGUCUUG
rnacentral:rRNA from 1 species